UACAGAGGUCCCAAGCGUUGUUCGGAUUCAUUGGGCGUAAAGGGUGCGUAGGUGGCGUCGUAAGUUGGGUGUGAAAUCUCGGGGCUUAACUCCGAAACUGCAUUCGAUACUGCGGUGCUUGAGGACUGGAGAGGAGACUGGAAUUUACGGUGUAGCAGUGAAAUGCGUAGAGAUCGUAAGGAAGGCCAGUGGCGAAGGCGGGUCUCUGGACAGUUCCUGACGCUGAGGCACGAAGGUCAGGGGAGCAAACGGG
rnacentral:rRNA from 1 species